AUUGAACGCUGGCGGCAUGCUUUACACAUGCAAGUCGAACGGCAGCGCGGGGCAACCUGGCGGCGAGUGGCGAACGGGUGAGUAAUACAUCGGAACGUACCCAGAAGUGGGGGAUAACGUAGCGAAAGUUACGCUAAUACCGCAUACGUUCUACGGAAGAAAGUGGGGGACCUUCGGGCCUCAUGCUUUUGGAGCGGCCGAUGUCUGAUUAGCUAGUUGGUGAGGUAAAGGCUCACCAAGGCGGCGAUCAGUAGCUGGUCUGAGAGGACGACCAGGCACACUGGGACUGAGACACGGCCCAGACUCCUGCAGGGGGCAGCGGUGGGGAAUUUUGGACAAUGGGCGCAAGCCGGAUCCAGCAAUGCGGCGUGAGUGAAGAAGGCGUUCGGGGUGUAAAGCUCUUUUGUCAGGGAAGAAACGGCUGAGGUUAAUACCUUCGGCUAAUGACGGUACCUGAAGAAUAAGCACCGGCUAACUACGUGCCAGCCGCCGCAGUAAGAC
rnacentral:rRNA from 1 species